UACGUGAGGUGCAAGCGUUAAUCGGAAUUACUGGGUGUAAAGCGUGCGCAGGCGGUUUUGUAAGUCUGUCGUGAAAUCCCCGGGCUCAACCUGGGAAUUGCGAUGGAGACUACAAGGCUAGAAUCUGGCAGAGGGGGGUAGAAUUCCACGUGUAGCAGUGAAAUGCGUAGAGAUGUGGAGGAACACCGAUGGCGAAGGCAGCCCCCUGGGUCAAGAUUGACGCUCAUGCACGAAAGCGUGGGGAGCAAACAGG
rnacentral:rRNA from 1 species